UUGUGCCCAUUGCUUUUUAACCUUGCAGUGGUGGUCUUCUGAGAACAGUCUGGACCCAUCUCUGUACUGCCCUUCAGGUAACUCCAGGCAGUAUUUAGAGACCUGAGCCUUCUCCAGGCGAGACUGCCUCAGGUCCUCACACUCUCCUCACACAUUGUGUGCCACCAUGAACUGAUUACACAUCAGCUGCAAGCAUAUGAAAAUGAUCAACUGCAAACAUAUGAAAAAAUACCAGAUGGCUUGUUUCUAUCUCUUGAAUGACAGUUGACAUGGAAGUAGGCAAAUGCUUUGGAUGCAGGUUGAGCACUGCCAGACAGAGAAGGCCACAAUGUCAGGAACAGAUUUGUGCAUGUGCUCAUGGAAGAAGCAUUUUUUGAGAAAUUUGGGGUGCAUUGUGACAGAGACCAAUGUGAAUUUGGGCAGAACGAGAUGGAAUAGACACAAAACUGCUGGCAGUCUAAAGGUUUGCUGUGAACAAGUUGUGAUCUGGUCCCUUGUCUACAACCUUAUUUAACCUCGCUGGAACAUUCAGUACUAUAGAAUUGGAAAUCCUGAACAUCCACCUAAGUGCUUUGCUUUGACCUGUUGGCCAAUCUGUCCUGCUCUUUGGAGACAUGAUUUGGUUGGGAUAUGCCACUGCCUCCAUCUGUCAGAUGUUUUCCUGUCAAGUCUCUCUGUGCUUUGCUUCCUCAACCACAUGGAACA